UCAGGAUGAACGCUAGCUACAGGCUUAACACAUGCAAGUCGAGGGGCAGCAUUUUAGUUUGCUUGCAAACUAAAGAUGGCGACCGGCGCACGGGUGAGUAACACGUAUCCAACCUGCCGAUAACUCGGGGAUAGCCUUUCGAAAGAAAGAUUAAUAUCCGAUAGUAUAUUAAAACCGCAUGGUUUUACUAUUAAAGAAUUUCGGUUAUCGAUGGGGAUGCGUUCCAUUAGUUUGUUGGCGGGGUAACGGCCCACCAAGACUACGAUGGAUAGGGGUUCUGAGAGGAAGGUCCCCCACAUUGGAACUGAGACACGGUCCAAACUCCUACGGGAGGCAGCAGUGAGGAAUAUUGGUCAAUGGACGAGAGUCUGAACCAGCCAAGUAGCGUGAAGGAUGACUGCCCUAUGGGUUGUAAACUUCUUUUAUAUGGGAAUAAAGUAUUCCACGUGUGGAAUUUUGUAUGUACCAUAUGAAUAAGGAUCGGCUAACUCCGUGCCAGCAGCCGCGGUAAUACGGAGGAUCCGAGCGUUAUCCGGAUUUAUUGGGUUUAAAGGGAGCGUAGGUGGAUUGUUAAGUCAGUUGUGAAAGUUUGCGGCUCAACCGUAAAAUUGCAGUUGAAACUGGCAGUCUUGAGUACAGUAGAGGUGGGCGGAAUUCGUGGUGUAGCGGUGAAAUGCUUAGAUAUCACGAAGAACUCCGAUUGCGAAGGCAGCUCACUAGACUGCAACUGACACUGAUGCUCGAAAGUGUGGGUAUCAAACAGGAUUAGAUACCCUGGUAGUCCACACAGUAAACGAUGAAUACUCGCUGUUUGCGAUAUACAGUAAGCGGCCAAGCGAAAGCAUUAAGUAUUCCACCUGGGGAGUACGCCGGCAACGGUGAAACUCAAAGGAAUUGACGGGGGCCCGCACAAGCGGAGGAACAUGUGGUUUAAUUCGACGAUACGCGAGGAACCUUACCCGGGCUUAAAUUGCAUUUGAAUAAUCUGGAAACAGGUUAGCCGCAAGGCAAAUGUGAAGGUGCUGCAUGGUUGUCGUCAGCUCGUGCCGUGAGGUGUCGGCUUAAGUGCCAUAACGAGCGCAACCCUUAUCUUUAGUUACUAACAGGUCAUGCUGAGGACUCUAGAGAGACUGCCGUCGUAAGAUGUGAGGAAGGUGGGGAUGACGUCAAAUCAGCACGGCCCUUACGUCCGGGGCUACACACGUGUUACAAUGGGGGGUACAGAAGGCAGCUACCUGGCGACAGGAUGCUAAUCCCAAAAACCUCUCUCAGUUCGGAUCGAAGUCUGCAACCCGACUUCGUGAAGCUGGAUUCGCUAGUAAUCGCGCAUCAGCCAUGGCGCGGUGAAUACGUUCCCGGGCCUUGUACACACCGCCCGUCAAGCCAUGAAAGCCGGGGGUACCUGAAGUACGUAACCGCAAGGAGCGUCCUAGGGUAAAA
rnacentral:rRNA from 1 species